CACCAUCAAGUGAUGGUCAAGAGUUGGAUGCUGUACACCUGUACUCCACCACUAAAUCAGUAAAAAGACAAGCACCAUGUAAUUGCUACCAUCAACAUAUGAAUCCUGUCUGCUUAGUAGAUCUACCACCUCAUUGAGAGUCAACAGAUAAGAUGAUGAAGAGGUACAUGUGAUAUUGAUGAGACAGAGAUUUUAUACCCAGGUUUGAGGUGUAUGUCUGUAUGCCACCAGACAAAUUAAACUAACAGACAACCAUAAAUGGUAAAAUAUAUAACUCUGUGCAGCCACAUACAGUUCUGGUACACGACGGUCACUGGUUAUAAACAGAAUAAAGCCACAAGUCAAUUGAUUUUGAAAUUAUUUUGUUGUUAGAAGCAGCACUAAUUAAACAGCAUAUUUUAUGAAAUGUUGCACUAUUUCCAUUUAACCAAAAUACAUGGAAAGUAUAAGGCUAGAAGAACAGGAAACAGUGCUUUUUUAAACCUACUGUAUAAAAUAUUAUCUAGAGUCAUAAAAUAUUAAAAUUAUUUAUACCUAUUCAUAUAUUUACAUGUUAACUUCUUAACUUAUUUAUUUUUUAAAUUAUGAUUUUACAUUGUGGGUGCACCAGAACUCGGUUCCGGCCGGUUAGUUCCUGCCGGAACUCCGAUUUUUCAGAGUUCCAGCCGGAACUAAUAGAAAAAGCAUGACCGGAACUGGAACUCUGUUGUUUUCAGAGAGAUAGAAUAUCAUACGUUUUUGUGUCAAACAAAAGUUCACAGUAGGAAGAAAUUUGGACUACACAAGGAAAAUGUACAUGACGUUUAAAGUUUGUCAAUCUUUUUAUUCUCACAUUUGCGAGUCCACCUUGAUGACUUGAAGUGUCUGCCAGAACUUUUUUGCAGUUCCGGCAGGAACUUUAAAAAUUGGUUCCGGUGCACCCCUAUUUUACAUAUUACC
rnacentral:lncRNA from 1 species